rnacentral:rRNA from 1 species
UGGGGAAUUUUGGACAAUGGGCGCAAGCCUGAUCCAGCCAUGCCGCGUGCGGGAAGAAGGCCUUCGGGUUGUAAACCGCUUUUGUCAGGGAAGAAACGGUCUGAUCUAAUACAUCGGACUAAUGACGGUACCUGAAGAAUAAGCACCGGCUAACUACGUGCCAGCAGCCGCGGUAAUACGUAGGGUGCAAGCGUUAAUCGGAAUUACUGGGCGUAAAGCGUGCGCAGGCGGCUUUGCAAGACAGAUGUGAAAUCCCCGGGCUCAACCUGGGAACUGCAUUUGUGACUGCAAGGCUAGAGUACGGUAGAGGGGGAUGGAAUUCCGCGUGUAGCAGUGAAAUGCGUAGAUAUGCGGAGGAACACCGAUGGCGAAGGCAAUCCCCUGGACCUGUACUGACGCUCAUGCACGAAAGCGUGGGGAGCAAACAGGAUUAGAUACCCCCGUAGUCC